rnacentral:lncRNA from 1 species
UGGGGGUAACAAGAAAAUUUUCUACCCUAUUUUUCGACUUUGUAUGAUCGUUCCAUUCCAAGUAAAAUAAUAGAAAAAUAAUUGCUGAUUACAUGAAAUAUUAGUAGUCACAUGACUAACCAUGCAAACAAUACAAAAAUAUAUUUAGCUAUACGAAGUAUAUAUUUUGCAAGGUAAUAUCUCUCAACAACUUUAUGAUGUUAUGUAGUUAACAUCACAAGUUUAAUUUUAUUCAUCCAAAAAAUGAUGGAAAAUUGUCAAAAAUACCAUUUUCAAAUUACCACUUUUCAUGUUUACACUAACCACUUUUACCCUCAUCUUUAAUGAAGGGUAAAAGACAUUUAUAACCUCUUGAUUAACUUUCACAAAAAAAAAAACAUAUUGUUAACUAAUCUAAACUUAAAACAUCAACUUCAACUCUAAACCUUAAACCAUGAAACAUCAACUGUAAACCUUAAACUCCGAAACAUCAACUCUAAACCCUAAACCCUAAACCUUCAAAUCUAAACCCUAAAACAUCAACUCUAAACCCUAAACGUAAACCCAAAACCCUAAAUCUAAACUUAAAACAUCAACUUUAAACCCUAAAUCAUCAACUCUAAACCCUAAACCAUGAAACAUCAACUCUAAACCCUAAACCUCGAAACAUCAACUCUAAACCCAAAACUCUAAACCUUCAAAUCUAAACCUAAAACAUCAACUCUAAACCCUAAACGUAAACCCUAAACCCUAUAUUUUUCUGAAAUUCGAACCCUAAACUCUAAAACCCUAAACCUUCAAAUCUAAACCCUAAAACAACAACUCUAAACUCUAAAAGUAAACCCUAAACCCUAAAACCCUAAAACCCUAAACCUUUGAAUCUAAACCCUAAAACAUCAACUCUAGGGUUUUAGGGUUUAGGGUUUAGGGUUUAGGAUUUAGGGUUUAGAGUUAAAGGUUUAGAGUUGAAGGUUUAGGGUUUAGGGUUUAAAGUUGAUGUAUUAGGGUUUAGGGUUAAUUUUUUAGGGUUUAGGGUUUAGAGUUUACUUUUUAGGGUUUAGGGUUUAGUGUUAAUAGUUUAGGGUUUAGUGUUGAAGUUUAGGGUUUAGGGUUUAGAGUUGAUGUUUUAGGGUUUAGGGUUUAAGGUUUAGGGUUUAGGGUUUAGAAAGAAAGAAAGAAAGAAUAGUUUUUAUACACAACUAAUCAAUUUGAUAGUUAUUCUAAUAAAAAAUGUAAUUUUGUUGUAAUUAGAGAGUUUAGAGCUGAAUAUUUCUGUGUUAUUAUUAAUGAUCAAGGGGUUCCUUUAUAUAAGGAUUACAAGAUAAAGAUAAAUAGAAAGUAUCUAAAACCUAAACUUAUUAGGAUUAAGAAAACUACUAAUACAUAAUAAUGAAAAGAUUAUAUCUACUAGGAAAAGGAAAGGGUUUCCUUUUCUCCAAGCUUUGUGGCCGUCUCUCUCUCUCUUGAAGUCGGCUCUCUCUCUCCUCUCUCUAGGGCUUCGGCCAUCUCUCCAUCUUCUAGGUAUUGGGCCGGUCUUGGACCGGGCUUGGUUAAUUGCAAUCCACUCCAUGAUUUAUAACAAUCCCCCUUGGAUGCCAUAGCCAUACAUGAUUUGUAGUAUGCUUGAUAUUGCCUCAUUAAAACCUUAUCAGGAAAACCAAGUGGGACAAAACCAUGAUGAAGAAAAAAGAGUACAACACGCACUACUCCCCCUGAUGUGAACCUCAGUGUAGGUUUCUACAUUCUACGCAUCUAGUGCGUGAUCUUUCCUGUAUAUGUAGGAAGGGAGUAAUCGGCCAAGUUCAUUACUAAGUCGUAUCUAGACCACUUCGACCUUUUAGGUCAUUUCUCAUGUCUUUUGACAUCGAGUGUUCCAGUAAAGCAUGUGUGCUAAAUAAUGUGAACCAUAUUGUUCUCGGGGAUCACUAUUGGGUCUUUGCAAAUCGUGUUUGCAUGUGUCCAUAGUCUAGACGUGAUCGUCUACUGUUAACUCUUUACUUUGGUCGGACAAAAUAAGUACUUAUGGACAAUGUACUAAACAUGGUUAUCAUGAACCUAUGUCUCGAUCUGGCCGAUCCAUGUCAGGGUCAUAGACCUCGUCUAUACAUGUCCACUACUUGUCUCAUGAGUGUUCAAGAUCAAUGAUCAUUGAUGUGAGUUUAUAAUCUCUUAUUAUGGCUCUGCGGCCGAACACUCUCAUGGAUGUGGACAUCGAUUUCUUUGCCUUAGGUAAUGCUGUAUUCAUUUUGCAUUCCUAUCUUAAUGAUGGCGUCUCAUGACCUUAGUUGCUGUGGAUCAUAUCACACGCUAAGUAUAUAUUAUUAGGUCAUGAAUCUCGGCUUUCACAAGCUUAUGGACUACAAUACAUUUGUAUCCGGUUGAUCAUUUGUCUCUACUAGCCCGUGAUCAAGAAGAAGGGCUAGACGCCUUUUAGUCUUAAAAUCCGGAUGCGUCUAGUAGAAGAGCCAGACGUUCUUUGCUGAAGAGCCGGACGCCCUUAGACGGACAGAGUCAGACAUCUUUAGUUUGAAGGGCCGGGGCUUGACGCUUUUGGUCGGACACCCACAUAGAUUUAUUCUAUGCCUACUAACCUCUUUUAGGUUUAGUAUAAUCACAAGGAAUUUCAAAUAUAUGGACUGUAUUGGAUUGUCUUUUAUACAGCUCCAAGAUCAAUGAUCAUGUGUGAUCAAUUUCUUUUACAUACUAUAUGCAGCUACUUUAUGUUUCAGUCCAUGAAUCAGCUUAGGAACGAAGCUGUUCUUUCAUCUUAUCCAGUGAUCCAUAUGUUGCUUACUACAUCAUUUGUAUCUAAUAUCUUUCUUAUGACCAGACCAUUUUCAAUUUCGAAAAUCUGUAGCAGCAUCCACCACAUAGGAGUUUAUCUCCUUAUAAUAUGUUCUUUUGAUCUCUGUGAGUACCUUGUGUAACAAGCUAUAAUCUAAUGCUGUUAAGUAGGAAGGCAUGAACACUCUUAGACCUCGUGAUCAUGUGCCUUCUCUCACGGUUUCUUUAUCUCACAAGAUCCAUCUAUUUCACUGGUUUAUCAGAUGGUGUUUCUGUAUAUAUUUAUGGCCAAUACGCCCAUCUCUCUUUUAGAUACUUUGAACCUCCACGUUUUAUCUUUUCUAAUUUCUAUGAUCUUUUAUGAUUGUAUGAGUACUCUUUCGUGGAUUCAUGAUCCUCGUUCAUCUCUUUAUGUUCAAGUGCUAUAACUUUAUGUAUUUUUAUACAAAUGUGUGUGUGUGUCGACACUUUCAUGUGGUUCCAUUAUGUUCCAGACAUGAUCUGAUCACUUUGAGAUUUCAUUAUCCAGGACCUUUGUUACCUAGUAGCUUGGCGUCCCAAACCACAUGGUUUGGUACCUUAGAUGUGUAGCUGCGCAGCCUUUUCUCAAUGUCUGGUAUGGUUUCUCUUAUAAUCUCGGAUCUGUAUUCUAUGCACCAUUUUUCUAUCCGAGAUUCCUUUAUCUUAUGGAACACUUGGUCUAUCUUGUAUAGACUCUAUAGUAACUUGAUUAUGUCUCUUCUAGGACAUUCAUUUGGUGCUAAGCUGGUUAGUCAUUUCUCGGGUCAGUGUCUGGCAUUUUCGAUUAGCUUCUCAAUUAGCUAGCUUUAUAUAAUCUUGCUUUGGACGUCUUAAAUUAUAAUCUCUAGUCUGAGGAUCUUUGCCAAGACAAUGAUGGUUAAAACCAUUCUUAUCAUUCUUUUACUUUUUAAUCUUUCUUUGUCCAGCUUAUAAUCUUUCUCCUUUAAUAUUGAAUAUCCGGAUUCAUUUGUUUCAUGCAAUCCGUACCUGGCCACUAUUUUAAUCACCCAUGUUUUGGCUCACGGUCCUUUGAAUUCGUGGAGAAGAUCUUAUUCUUAUAUAUUCCCAAUCCUCUUCUGAGAUUCCAUCUUAGACGGCACAUAUAUGUAUGUGGUGGUUUAUUCAAAAUCUCUUAAGAUGGUGUAUGUCUGGUUUUAUGACCCGUAUUCUUCCUGAGAUGGGAAUAUCUAUGCUCACUUAUAUGGCUUGAUGCAUAUUAUCAUUCUAUACAUGUAAAUUCAUAAUGUCCCCAAGCUUUAUAGACUUUAGAAUCUUAGUCUUAUAGAUGGUGGCUUACAUGGCCGAACCUUUUAUAGGUAAUGGCUUACUUGGCCGAACCUUUAUAGGUAAUGGAUUGUGUGCGGCCAAGCCUGCACUAUGCGGCCAAGUCAUGGCCGAGCCGUUUAUUCUCAUGGUCUCUUCAGCCGGGUAAUGGCCUCUUUGGUUUGGCCGUUUGUAUCAUGGUCUCUACGGCCGAGGAAUGACCGAGCCAUAUAACAUGGUCUUAGACCAUAGUGGUACACGAACUUGUAGUAUUGAUCAUGGGUUUAUCCUCUCUCCCCCUCAUGACCAUACUAUAAGGUCGUGGUGCUUGGGACAAUUAAGCCUAAUGAGUUUCCCCUUUGUGUACAUGUUUCACAACGUGAGAUCUUUUACGUGGUAACUCUUUGUGCCUUUUCAAUUUCAAUCUUUGCAUCAAGUUCUAGAUUAGGAUGGCUAAUCCUAUCAUGCCAUAUAGUGUGAAAUUUUGUGGUGUUAUCUCAAUAUGGUUACCACAUUUCUUGCCUCUUUAUCAUACUGAUCUGUAGCAUAGUUUUGAUUAGUAGAGAUCAUAGGUAUAGUCUCGACCACUUUCUUUCAAGGUCUUAGGCGUUUUUCUUCUUAAAAUCUAAAGGAACUUGUUUCCUUCCUUACCCAUUGUUUCUACUUGGAAACCAUACAUUAUAACUUCAAUGGGUCACAUGUUCUUUUGGGUGUGUAUAAUGCCUUUUAAGGCAAUGCCUUAGCCAUAGUUUUUUUACUAUGCUUACUAUACUCAUUCAUGAUUUCUUACUUGGUUUUAUGCCCUUUAGGCAACUCUUUAAAAUCAUUUAUAUGUUCAAGUAAGAUCAGGCAAGAUAUAAUCAAAACAAACUCUUUCAUAUAUAUAUAUAUAUAAAUCGUGAACCAUCAAGUAGGUUUAAAAGCAAAUCACGAAAUCAUAGACUUAAAAUAAAAUUAUCAUGUCGAGAUCUUUCUUAGUCAAUAGACAUGCCGGCCACAACUUGAGUUAUAUUGGACACGGCUCCCUUGGAUUCAUCCUGAUCCAUAUCGGUUUUAUUUGUAUCAGGAUAUCUCAUCUCACUGCUCCUCUUUAGUACCUUGUCAUUCUCAAUCACCGUUAGGCAAGAGAUCCGGUCAUUGUAAGUGGUAGAACAUCUUUCUAUGUAGAUAUGUUUUGACAACAAAUCUUCUGGAUGGAAUGUGGAGUAUGUCUUGAAUAGACAAUCAUUAUCUGUUACCUCUUCUCCACAUAAUCUCAGUUGGUACACGACCCCGGACAAGGCAAAGUGAAACUCGGCCACUAUCUCAAAGUCUUGGAAUCUAAGACUCAUCCAUUCAUGUUUGACCUUUGGUAAUAAUACCAUAGUGUAUCUGGACUUUAAUUAUGUCCAAAGGUCACGAGGGUUUUCAAUAUGUAGAUAAUGAUUUCUCAGUUUCUCAGUGAGAUGAUGGCACAUUAUUGUAAUGGCUCUUAACCUUUCACUUUCAGUUGCAUAAUCACCCUGAAUGAUACUCUUUCCGAGUCCUCUUGAUUUCAGGGUAACUGAAGUGUUCAUUGCCCAUUCUAGAUAAUUAUCUCCAGAGAGAUUUAGAAUGGCAUAAUCCAUGGGAUUAAAUCUCGGCAUCUGAAAUCAUAUUAUCAAUCAAUGAUUUAGAAUUCUUGCAACCAAUUUAAUUAGUGCACAUGAUUUCAUAAGUCUGUCUAUGAUGCUUAGGCCAUACGGCUUUGCAUUGUGAUGCUUAUACCUCUCGGCCAUUAUAAGAUACAACGAUCUUAAGGAUCGGAUCAUGAUACAAUCCGGAUACUAGGCCACACGGUCACUUUGAUAUGCACUAAGCCACAUGGCUUUUAAUCAAUCAAGGGCACAAGGCCGCAAGUAUGAAAAAUGUAUUAGGCCACACGGCCAUAUACAAAACGGGAUCUAGAUGCAUUCAAUCCUAUUUCUUAGAUGCAUAUCUAUUAGGUUUUAGAAUUAAAUAAUCUAGCAACCUAACUCUCAUUCAAUAUGUAAAUUCUUUAAAUCAAUCUUUCAAGCUUUAAGUAAUGAGAGAUUUAAGGUUUCAAAGCCUUUAGGAAUUUUAAAAUUUGAGAUUAGGGUUUUAGUUUAAAACAAGAUUCAGAUUCAAGUUUUAAAACAUUCCUAAUCAUAGCUCUAGGCGAUCAAUCAAACACUCAAGUUUCAAAUCAAAAUUAAAAACCGAUUUUCCAAAAUUAGGGUUUUAGGGGAUUUUGAAAACUUUGAUCUUUGAUCAAGGGGAUUUGAUUUGAGAUUCAAAAACCUUUAAGGUUCUGAUUUUAAUUGAUCAAUGGAUCAAUCUCGUUUUUAGGUUUUAGAUCGAACUUAUAGAGCUUCGAUUUACUCAUAGGGGAUUGAUCUAUUUAACCUAUGACUUUUAGUUUUAGAGAUUAUCUUUUAUGGUUUCAAUCUUUACAAAACAACCAGGUUCGAUUCUUGUUUUCAGAUUUCGAAUUACCUUUAUUUUGUAGGGUUGAACCGGACCACCAAAGUCAGAUGAACCUCUAGUUGCACACGGACGCGAGCUGGCUCCUUAUCGGGUCGCAAGAUGGGAUGGGACGCGAGCUGUAUGGAACGGUCUUGCGUCUGGUCACGGAUGUGUGCUGAGGUAGUUGGACGCAAUCGGGACGCGUCUUCUUCUUAUCUAGUUCGCGAGCUGCUGCCUUUGCAAGUGGCUGAUCUAAUUGCGAGCUGGCUGUGAUGCAAACGUGGGCUGGCUCUGUUGUGAACAGGAAGCAAUAUGAGAAGAACCGUGAGCUGGUCAAGCUUGAGAUCGUCGGUUCAUGGUCAGUAUAUGGAUCGCGAACAACUUUGUGUUUGAGAUCUUUGCACCAACUCCUCUCAGCUCAUGAAAUAAAAACAAAGAGUAUUAGAUUACAUGAACACCACAAUCUGAACAAGAUAUCAUCAAACAACUAAGGUAUGAUAAACUUAUCUUUCACAGGAUUUGAAUUUGGCUAGAAAAUCUUGUUGGUUCGGAUUAGGGUUCCAAAAAAUCAAAACGGCGCCGCGUAUUGUUUCUGAGAGUGUGGGCGCGUCUGAGAUCGGAUCGACGAACGGUUUGCACUGAUGGAUUCUUCUCGGCAAGAUCUUCAAUUUGAUAUGUGGUUCGUCAUCUGGUUCCUCAGGGUUUGAGAGAUAGAUCGAUUUUAAAUUGCGCCUGGAUUAGGGUUUAUGUGUGACGGAUUUUAGGUUAGGUUUUGUCUCAGGGUUUUGGAGUCUAUCGUGCUGAUAACGUGUUGUAAUUAGAGAGUUUAGAGACUGAAUAUUUCUGUGUUAUUAUUAAUGAUCAAGGGGUUCCUUUAUAUAAGUAUUACAAGAUGAACAUAAAUGGAAAAUAUCCAAAACCUAAACUUAAUAGGAUUAGGAAAACUACUAAUACAUAAUAAUGAAAAGAUUACAUCUACUAGGAAAAGGAAAGAGUUUCUUUUUCUCCAAGCUUUGUGGCCGUCUCUCUCUCCUGAAGUCGGCUCUCUCUCUCCUCUCUCUAGGGCUUCGGCCAUCUCUCCAUCUUCUAGGUAUUGGGCCGGUCUUGGACCGGGCUUGGUUAAUGGCAAUCCACUCCAUAAUUUAUAACAAAUUUAUAUUUAUAUGGACCAUCUUGACACGUGACUACGAAAACAUGUAAUACCGCAAGAUUAAUAUAUAGGGGAUCUAAAAGGGUAGGAAUAAAACCGGUAUUAUCAUAAUGACAACCGUUUCAAUACCACAUACCUAAUUGUACUAUUUUCCUUUUAUAUAAAAUGUAAGUUCCCGUAUAAAAACAAAAGAUAAGUUCCCGUAUAAAAACAAAAGAUACCAUCCAUUUGUAGCAAAUAAUAAAUUCGUUCGACAAAUUUAUAUUCAUUUUUUUGUGGAAACCAUUUACGUAAUAUGAAAGGUAUAUGUAAACAAAAUACUAUACGAUCCAUAUGCAGUAAAUAAUAAUUUUGUUAACAAAUUUACACAUCCGUUUUUUAUGGAAGCCAUUACAACAUACGAAAUAUAUAUUUUAUAUAUAUACAAAAUAUUAUAUCAUCCAUAUAUAGUAAACUGUUGACUAUUACAUAUUCGAAUAUGGAAAAUUAACUAUGAAUACUUAUUACAUAAUAUAUGUGUUACCAAAUAUGGAAGACAUAUCAUGAAUAUAUAUAUAUAACACAAUUAGACCAUACAAUCGAUCAAUGCAUAAUACAAAUAACGAAAGGUAGAUCAGGCUAGAAAUACAUAUACAUGUUAAUAGUUUUCUUUUACGUUUUCAUCGAGAAUAGAUCUUUAAUCCUUUUCUUCAAAUACGUUUUACUGUGCAAAAUUUUAGUUUUUGUAAUUUUAUUUAUUCAGAUUGUACAAGUAUGUAUUUUUAAUAUAUGUAGGUGUAUAUUUCAUUAGAAUAUUUUUCUAAGAGUUAUUACACCAGAAUAUCGCCAAAUGUUAACUUUAAAAUCUGUUUGUUUUGUUUCUUUUGAAGGAUAUUCAGAGAAAGAGUUAUUGUGUAAUCUAUACAUAAAUACCAUGUCAACCAGGAAAAGUUUAUCUCUUCUCUUUUCUUUGUUGAUGGUAUUUACCCUGAUAAGCCAUUUUCCUACAAUUUCUGGUAAGAUAUUUAUUUGUAUAUGUUUAUAUUUUCUCAAAUUUUAAAGAAAACUGUUAUCAUUCCGAAACUCUACAAAAAUCCAGAGCCUUUUGAUAGAUCCAUUUAUUGAAAAUGACUCAUGCAAGAAAUGAGUAAAAUAUUUUAAUAUAUUAAAUUUGUCAAUAUUUCAUUUGAAACUAUUGCUAACUUAGUUUAAAAAAAAAACUACUGCCUCCUUUUUGUGCAACAAAAUAAAAACUACUGCUAACUUUUAUGAGUUAAAUAGGUAAAGCGGGAGAAUGUGUAGCACAGGGGCAAUGUUUGGGCGAGAAGCCGGAAAAGAAGUGCAUUGAAGAAUGUAUUUCUCUGAAUUUCAAACUUGGGGGAAUUUGCUUAAAACUUGCAAAUGGUCCAGACAGACCUAUUUCUUAUAUUUGUUGCUGCAAGUUCUAAACUUCUUGGUCGUCCUAUGCUAGGAUUCCUGUGGACCAAAUAAUUCUUAAUUUAAUAUGUAUCCUCAACUUUAACCCAAAAAGUUAUUAUCUUCGGUAAUAUGAAUAAAUUAUAUUAAAAUCUAACCCAAAAGGUUCUAGAUGCACUAAUCUCGUUUGACAAAAAAAAUGUACACAGAGCUCCAUAGAACAAGAUAUCAUCGUCAUACCAUUCCACCCUUCCCUCAAUAUCUCAGUUUUAUAUGUAUUAUUAAAGUAUGAUACACUUCAGAUUUCUUUUCCUAUAAAAACUCUUCCUUUUCAAAGUUUGCCUUGUAUUGAAUUAGGAUAUAUCCGUCUUUUUACAACCUAGCACAUUGUCCGAUUUAUUUUUCUAUUUGUUUCCUUAUUAAUACUCCCUCCGGAUUUGAAUAUAUGAUGUUUAAGGUUGUGCACACAUAUUAAGAGAAAUUAAAUACUUACUUAUAUCAAAUACUUUUUGGUUUUACUUUUAGUUAGUUUAAAGAUUUAUUUGAAUCCCAAUAAAAUUCAACCACUUAAAUUUUUUACAUUUUAUUUUAAAAGCAAAAUGCAUUAAUGAAAAGUAGAACAUCAUACAUUUAUAUACAAGAAAAAAAAACUAAAACAUCAUAUAUUCAAAUCCGGAGGGAGUAUUUCUUAAAAUAAACAAAUAAUAUAAAUUGUGGUUUGCAAGAUUUCCAGGACUUAAAAAGAUUUAAAAUAUUAAAAGUUUAUACAUAAUGUGUUUAAAAAAAGUUUAUACAUAAAAUCUCUAUAACUAUUUACGAAGUAAAUAUAUUCGGGAUCUUAUUCCUAAUUCAUCAAAAAUUAACUAUUAAUAAAUGUCAUAAUAACUAAAAACCAAUUUUAUAGGAAAUAAUUUACGUAUGAAAUCGCUACAAACUGUUUACGCAAUAAAUGUACUAUUGAUUUUAUUCCGAAAUUAUAAUUUCUAUUAAUUGUUCCCACGAAAUAAAUGAUCAAGAAUAAGAUCAUGUAUGGUAACAACGAGAUUUAGAAAAAUUAUAACAUAAUGCCGUGGAUUUAAAAGAUAUUUAAAAGAUCUUAUAGUGUUAGAUAUGGUAACAAAAAUAUAUUUAAAAGAUCUUAGUUUGAUAUAUGAAGCGAAUAUACCAUUAUCCCCUAGACUAUAUUUGCGAAGUGAUUUUGCCACAUGUCUUCUCUAUAAUUAAUUUCACAAAACAAAUAUGACAUGACUACUGAAAUUGAUGACAUGACUUCUGGAAAAAUAUGACAUAGAUAAUUUCAUUUAAUGUUGAUUUAUAUUUUUGGCAAAUUUAUUAGAAUAUGGUAAUAAUUCAUAUAUUACAUUUAAUAUUGAUAUUUAUUUUUGGCAAACUUUUUUAAAUAUGGUAAUAGUUCAUACAUCAUCUAUAAAAUAAAUAUAUUCAUAUAGUAUUUCAAAUUUCGAAAUAUUAUUAUUUUUGUACCAUUAUACAAUUCGUAUUACAAAAGCUUUCAAAAAUUUCUACAAUUUUUUAAAAAUUUAAAUAUCUAAUCAUAAGAUCAUUAGUUUUUUAUAUACCUACAAAAUUUAUAAAUAAUGUUUAGGCUAAAUUUUUGAUAAUUAUACAAUUUUAUAUCAUUUUUAUUAGUUUUAUACAAAUUGAUUUAAUAUAUAUCAAAUCUAUAUUAAAUAUUAGUAAGAAAGUAGUAAAAUCUAUAAUAUUUAAUAAAUUUUAUUUUUAAAUAUAAGUUAGAUAAAAAAAUUUCUUACUGCUCAUGGUGCAAGAAAACACUUAGUUUUACUGAAUAUGGGAGUUAAUUUAGGGCUGGACAAAAAUGUACGUGAAUAACAUAAGUCGUCUGGGGGUAACAAGAAAAUUUUCUACCCUAUUUUUCGACUUUGUAUGAUCGUUCCAUUCCAAGUAAAAUAAUAGAAAAAUAAUUGCUGAUUACAUGAAAUAUUAGUAAUCACAUGACUAACCAUGCAAACAAUACAAAAGUAUAUUUAGCUACACGAAAUAUAUAUUAUGCAAGGUAAUAUCUCUCAACAACUUUAUGAUGUUAUGUAGUUAACAUCACAAGUUUAAUUUUAUUCAUCCAAAAAAUGAUGGGAAAUUGUCAAAAAUACCAUUUUCAAAUUAGCACUUUUCAUGUUUACACUAACCACUUUUACCCUCAUCUUUAAUGAAGGGUAAAAGACAUUUAUAACCUUUUGAUUAACUUUCACAAAAAAAAACAUAACGUUAACUAAUCUAAACUUAAAACAUCAACUUUAAACCCUAAAUCAUCAACUCUAAACCCUAAACCAUGAAACAUCAACUCUAAACCUUAAACCCCGAAACAUCAAAUCUAAACCCUAAACCCUAAACCUUCAAAUCUAAACCCUAAAACAUCAACUCUAAACCCUAAACGUAAACCCUAAACCCUAAAUCUAAACUUAAAACAUCAACUUUAAACCCUAAAUCAUCAACUUUAAACCCUAAACCAUGAAACAUCAACUCUAAACCCUAAACCUCGAAACAUCAACUCUAAACCCUAAACUCUAAACCUUCAAAUCUAAACCAUAAAACAUCAACUCUAAACCCUAAAUGUAAACCCUAAACCCUAUAUUUUUCUGAAAUUCGAACUCUAAACUCUAAAACCCUAAACCUUCAAAUCUAAACCCUAA